rnacentral:rRNA from 1 species
GAUGAACGCUGGCGGCGUGCUUAACACAUGCAAGUCGAACGAAGCAUUUGCGACAGAUUUUUUCGGAAUGAAGUUGCUUAUGACUGAGUGGCGGACGGGUGAGUAACGCGUGGGUAACCUGCCUUGUACUGGGGGAUAGCAGCUGGAAACGGCUGGUAAUACCGCAUAAGCGCACAAUGUUGCAUGACAUGGUGUGAAAAACUCCGGUGGUAUAAGAUGGACCCGCGUCUGAUUAGCUAGUUGGUGAGAUAACAGCCCACCAAGGCGACGAUCAGUAGCCGACCUGGGAGGGUGGCCGGCCACAUUGGGGCUGAGACACGGCCCAGACUCCUACGGGAGGCAGCAGUGGGGAAUAUAGCACAAUGGAGGAAACUCUGAUGCAGCGACGCCGCGUGAGUGAAGAAGUAAUUCGUUAUGUAAAGCUCUAUCAGCAGGGAAGGUAGUGACGGUACCUGACUAAGAAGCUCCGGCUAAAUACGUG